ACUAAAAUUAUUGAAAAUACACACUACCAACACGUAAAUUUUCGAUCAUCGAGAACCAGAAGCUUCACCUGGAAAGGCCAUCAAAAGGGAAAGGUGGAGGUGACGGUGCAUGGCGGAGGUAUAAAGCCUCGCUGGGUGAAGGAAGCUGCAGUCCAUCUUACGGCGUGACCACAUCUGCCGACAUGUUCUCUGCGGUAAGUGGCUGCUGCUGUGCUUCAUAACCUGCCGGCUCACAUGAUCAGCUCUCCUGCAGCGGCUCUCCGCCAUGAGCGGGUAACCCACCCCACGUGUGCCCGUCACGGCGUCACGACUCUCAAGUUAUUCUUGGCCUUGUUCCCUACAGGUGCUGAAGGUGUGUCUGCUGGCAGCUGCUGCCCUAGCUCUGCCCGGUGGCUUUGGGGGCGGCUUUGGCGGUGGCUUUGGCGGCGGAUAUGGCGGCGGCGGCGGCGGCGGUCAUGGUGGUGGCGGCGGCGGCGGGUUUGGUGGUGGAUAUGGAGGUGGCGGCGGUGGCGGCGGCGGCGGCGGCGGUUACGGGGGUGGCUAUGGAGGCGGUAUUGCAGUACCCAUCCCUUACAACUUCGACUACGGCGUCUCAGCGGGCAGCACCAACUUUGGCCACAGCGAGAGCGGUGACGGUCGCGGCAACGCCCACGGCGGCUACUGGGUUAACCUGCCCGACGGUCGUGUGCAGAAAGUUGACUACUGGGCUGACGGCAGCGGCUACCACCCGGUGGUGACCUACCAGGGCACCGCCGUCUUCCCCGCCGGCAAGGGCCGCUACGGAUACCACUGAGAGGGCCAUGGAUCCACUACCAGAGCCGCGGGACUGACAGGGAGCCGCUGUAUCUUGAUUUACUUAUCCUUGUGUUAAGAAUUUGUUUAUUAAAUGGCUGCAGGCGAAGCUGUCUCUUCA